rnacentral:rRNA from 1 species
UACAGAGGGGGCAAGCGUUGUUCGGAAUUACUGGGCGUAAAGGGCGCGUAGGCGGCCCGCUAAGUCGAACGUGAAAUCCCCGAGCUCAACUCGGGAACUGCGUCCGAUACUGGCGGGCUUGAAUCCGGGAGAGGGAUGCGGAAUUCCAGGUGUAGCGGUGAAAUGCGUAGAUAUCAGGAGGAACACCUGUGGUGUAGACGGCUUCCUGGACCACAACUGACGCUGAGACACGAAAGCGUGGGGAGCAAACAGG